rnacentral:rRNA from 1 species
AGAGUUUGAUCAUGGCUCAGAUUGAACGCUGGCGGCAGGCCUAACACAUGCAAGUCGAACGGUAACAGGAAACAGCUUGCUGUUUCGCUGACGAGUGGCGGACGGGUGAGUAAUGUCUGGGAAACUGCCUGAUGGAGGGGGAUAACUACUGGAAACGGUAGCUAAUACCGCAUAACGUCGCAAGACCAAAGAGGGGGACCCUCGGGCCUCUUGCCAUCGGAUGUGCCCAGAUGGGAUUAGCUUGUUGGUGGGGUAACGGCUCACCAAGGCGACGAUCCCUAGCUGGUCUGAGAGGAUGACCAGCCACACUGGAACUGAGACACGGUCCAGACUCCUACGGGAGGCAGCAGUGGGGAAUAUUGCACAAUGGGCGCAAGCCUGAUGCGGCCAUGCCGCGUGUAUGAAGAAGGCCUUCGGGUUGUAAAGUACUUUCAGCGGGGAGGAAGGGAGUAAGUUAAUACCUUUGCUCAUUGACGUUACCCGCAGAAGAAGCACCGGCUAACUCCGUGCCAGCAGCCGCGGUAAUACGGAGGGUGCAAGCGUUAAUCGGAAUUACUGGGCGUAAAGCGCACGCAGGCGGUUUGUUAAGUCAGAUGUGAAAUCCCCGGGCUCAACCUGGGAACUGCGUCUGAUACUGGCAAGCUUGAGUCUCGUAGAGGGGGGUAGAAUUCCAGGUGUAGCGGUGAAGUGCGUAGAGAUCUGGAGGAAUACCGGUGGCGAAGGCGGCCCCCUGGACGAAGACUGACGCUCAGGUGCGAAAGCGUGGGGAGCAAACAGGAUUAGAUACCCUGGUAGUCCACGCCGUAAACGAUGUCGACUUGGAGGUUGUGCCCUUGAGGCGUGGCUUCCGGAGCUAACGCGUUAAGUCGACCGCCUGGGGAGUACGGCCGCAAGGUUAAAACUCAAAUGAAUUGACGGGGGCCCGCACAAGCGGUGGAGCAUGUGGUUUAACUCGAUGCAACGCGAAGAACCUUGCCUGGUCUUGACAUCCACGGAAGUUUUCAGAGAUGAGAAUGUGCCUUCGGGAACCGUGAGACAGGUGCUGCAUGGCUGUCGUCAGCUCGUGUUGUGAAAUGUUGGGUUAAGUCCCGCAACGAGCGCAACCCUUAUCCUUUGUUGCCAGCGGUCCGGCCGGGAACUCAAAGGAGACUGCCAGUGAUAAACUGGAGGAAGGUGGGGAUGACGUCAAGUCAUCAUGACCCUUACGACCAGGGCUACACACGUGCUACAAUGGCGCAUACAAAGAGAAGCGACCUCGCGAGAGCAAGCGGACCUCAUAAAGUGCGUCGUAGUCCGGAUUGGAGUCUGCAACUCGACUCCAUGAAGUCGGAAUCGCUAGUAAUCGUGGAUCAGAAUGCCACGGUGAAUACGUUCCCGGGCCUUGUACACACCGCCCGUCACACCAUGGGAGUGGGUUGCAAAAGAAGUAGGUAGCUUAACCUUCGGGAGGGCGCUUACCACUUUGUGAUUCAUGACUGGGGUGAAGUCGUAACAAGGUA